GACGAACGCUGGCGGCGUGCUUAACACAUGCAAGUCGAACGGAAAGGCCCUGCUUGCAGGGUACUCGAGUGGGGCAAGGGUGAGUAACACGUGGGAGUACUGCCCUGCACUUCGGGAUAAGCCUGGGAAACUGGGUGUAAUACAGGAUAGGAGCCAUCUUGCGUGUGAUGGUUGGAAAGUUUUUUUGGUGUGGGGUGAGCUCGCGGCCUAUCAGGUUGGUGGUGGGGUGAUGGCCUACCAAGGGGGCGACGGGUAGCCGGCCUGGGUGGGGGGACGGCCACAAUUGGGCCUGGGAUCGGCCCCGACUCCUACGGGGGGCAGGCGGGGGGGAAUUUUCCAAAAUGGCGCAAGCCCGAUUCAGGGACGCCGGGGUGCGGGAUACGGCCUUCGGGUUUGAAACCCGUUUCGCUAUGUACGAAGCUGUUAGUGACGGUACCUAGAUAAGAAGCACCGGCUAACUACGUG
rnacentral:rRNA from 1 species